UUCUAACUCAAAAAAUUACGAAUAAAAUGGGUGGGUACCUAUUAAGUUAUUGGCAUUUUGGAUAACCUGCAGGUACCCACGGACACCCGCACAUAUAUUUUUUAAAUUAUAAAAUAUAUUUUUUUAAUUAAAAAAUAUAUAUUUUUAUUUAUCCUAUCUAUUCUAAAAAUCCUAACUUUAAUUUCUUAUCGCGUGUCUUUUAUAUUAUGAAAUAUUUUUACUUUAAGACUUUAAAUAUUUUUAUUAUAUAUUAUAAUAUUUUAAAUAAUAAAUUAUGUUAUGCUUUGAAAAUUUAUGUGUGUGUGUGUUUUGCAUUUAAAAAUAUAAGAGAAGAAAAAAAUUACAGGUAACCCGCAUAUCCACCCACCCGCGGGUGGGUAUGAGUAAAGAUGUUGGUUAUCUAAAAUUUUACGGAUAAAUUUUAUCUAUAUCUAAGUAAUCCACAAGUAUAAUGACCUGCCCACGGAUUAUUCAACUUGUCUGUUUGCCAGGUCUGAUCUUAUCGUCUAUUAUGUAAUUUUUUAUUGUCGGCCGAGAAAGAGACAAAGGUAGGCGAUGUGGAAAUUAAGCGGCUGUGGACGGAUACAACAUAUAAUAUAUUUUUGAGUAAACUAAUUGCAUCUCAAGUCCAUGAGCUUUUAGACAAGUCUUCUUUUGGUACUCAAACUUUUAAAUCUGAAAUUAAUGGCUUGGCUGGUUCAAGAGUGAAAUUAAAAUAAAUAAUGGAAUUGCAAUGACAAUUGAAUUGGCCUAUUUUUUCAAGACGUUUGGUUCAUUUUUUGAUUAAAAAUGGGAAUGGUUAUUCUCGUUCCACCGUUUGAUUCAUACAAACUAAAAAAUAAUAGAAUAACAUGGCAUUAAUUUUACUUUCAAAUAUAAUUCUAUAAAACUAUCUAAAAUUUAUAAAAAAAAAAAAUUAAUACUAUUCUCAAAUUAGAGCUAUGCCAAAAAAAAA
rnacentral:lncRNA from 1 species